GGACCACACAGUAAUAAAAUGACAUACAAUAUCACAAAUUGUAAAAUAAUACUCAGGAUUUAUUAUUUGACAAUUUGAGAUAUUGUAUGUCAUUUUAUUACUGUGCGGUCC